rnacentral:rRNA from 1 species
GCUUAACACAUGCAAGUCGAGGGGCAGCGGGGUAGUGCCUGCACUACUGCCGGCGACCGGCGCACGGGUGAGUAACACGUAUGGAACCUGCCCGCAGCAGGGGGAUAAGCGGAAGAAAUUCCGUCUAAUACCGCGUAACAACGUUGGGAGGCAUCUCCCGAUGUUUAAAGAUUUAUCGGCUGCGGAUGGCCAUGCGGCGCAUUAGCUAGUCGGCGGGGUAACGGCCCACCGAGGCGACGAUGCGUAGGGGUUCUGAGAGGAAGGUCCCCCACACUGGUACUGAGACACGGACCAGACUCCUACGGGAGGCAGCAGUGAGGAAUAUUGGUCAAUGGCCGAGAGGCUGAACCAGCCAAGUCGCGUGAGGGAUGACGGCCCUACGGGUUGUAAACCUCUUUUGUCGGGGAGCAAAGGGAGUCACGUGUGACUCAUUGAGAGUACCCGAAGAAAAAGCAUCGGCUAACUCCGUGCCAGCAGCCGCGGUAAUACGGAGGAUGCGAGCGUUAUCCGGAUUUAUUGGGUUUAAAGGGUGCGCAGGCGGAGGUGCAAGUCAGCGGUCAAAUUGCGGGGCUCAACCCCGUACUGCCGUUGAAACUGCAUCCCUUGAGUGCGCGAGAAGUAUGCGGAAUGCGUGGUGUAGCGGUGAAAUGCAUAGAUAUCACGCAGAACUCCGAUUGCGAAGGCAGCAUACCGGCGCGCAACUGACGCUCAUGCACGAAAGCGUGGGUAUCGAACAGGAUUAGAUACCCUGGUAGUCCACGCAGUAAACGAUGAACCCUAACUGUUCGGCCAGAAUGAUGGCUGAGUGGUACAGCGAAAGCGUUAAGUGUUCCCCUGGGGGAGUACGCCGGCAACGGUGAAACUCAAAGGAAUUGACGGGGGCCCGCACAAGCGGAGGAACAUGUGGUUUAAUUCGAUGAUACGCGAGGAACCUUACCCGGGCUCAAACGACACAGGAAUACUUUUGAAAGGAGGUAGCCCUACGGGGUCUGUGUCGAGGUGCUGCAUGGUUGUCGUCAGCUCGUGCCGUGAGGUGUCGGCUUAGUGCCAUAACGAGCGCAACCCCUAUCGCCAGUUGCCAUCAAGUAAAGUUGGGGACUCUGGCGAGACUGCCGGCGCAAGCUGUGAGGAAGGCGGGGAUGACGUCAAAUCAGCACGGCCCUUACGUCCGGGGCGACACACGUGUUACAAUGGCAGGUACAGAGAGAAGCCAGGUGGCGACACCGAGCGGAACUCGAAAGCCUGUCUCAGUUCGGAUCGGAGUCUGCAACCCGACUCCGUGAAGCUGGAUUCGCUAGUAAUCGCGCAUCAGCCAUGGCGCGGUGAAUACGUUCCCGGGCCUUGUACACACCGCCCGUCAAGCCAUGGAAGCCGGGAGUGCCUGAAGU